UGCUACUUCAGCCACCAGCUCCAAUGCAUUAUGGGAGGUUGAGGUGGUUCACCAUGAUCCGUGUCGUGGAGGAGCAGGACAUUGGAACAGCCUGUACCGAUUCAAACACUUGGCCACAGGAAACUAUCUUGCUGCUGAGGAGAAUCCAGGUUAUAAAGAAAACAGCAAUGAUAUAGAGGUGGAUAGUAGCCGUAUAAAGAGAGGCCUAGGAGAGAGGAUAAAAUACAAGCUAGUUGCAGUGCCUCAUGGUAAUGACAUCGCCUCACUGUUUGAGCUGGACCCCACCACACUGCAGAAGACUGAUUCGUUUGUGCCACGAAAUUCUUAUGUUCGAUUCCGUCACCUGUGCACAAACACUUGGAUCCAAAGCACCAACAUUCCCAUCGACAUCGAUGAGGAGAGACCCA